rnacentral:rRNA from 1 species
UACAGAGGGUGCAAGCGUUAAUCGGAGUUACUGGGCGUAAAGGGCGCGUAGGUGGUUUAUUAUGAGUGAUGUGAAAGCCCCGAGCUUAACUUGGGAAGUGCAUCGCUAACUAAUGAACUAGAGUAUAUGAGAGGGUGGUGGAAUUUCCGGUGUAGCGGUGAAAUGCGUAGAGAUCGGAAGGAACGUCAAUGGCGAAGGCAGCCACCUGGCAUAAUACUGACACUGAAGCGCGAGAGCGUGGGGAGCGAACAGG